rnacentral:tRNA from 2 species
UUUCUGGUGGUCCAGUGGUUAGGACUUGGCACUUUCACUGCUAUGGCCCAGGUUCAAUCCCUGGUUGGAGAA